ensembl:lncRNA
GUAGUCUCCCAUCCAAGUACUAACCAAGCCCAGCCCUGCUUAGCUUCCGAGAUCAGACGAGGUCGGGCGUGCUCAGGGUGGUAUGGCCGUAAGCUGCUGGCCCCAGCACAAUGUCUCAAUUUAUGGAUUCAACUGAUUAGGUGGCAAGUACCUGAAGUUACGAAGACAAUCCUUUAACCAUACCUGCAUGUUUGCAUAAUACCCUAACCCAAAGGCUCAGUUUAGCAUUUAUCUAACAGCACAGGCCCUGGAUUGUUGAAGAUGGCCUCAGGAACCAGCACAGGGCCUGGUGUGUUGUACAUGGCCACAGCUAGCAGCCACAGGCCCUGGUGUGGUGUAAGUGGCCUCAGCCAGCAGCCACAGGCCCUGGUGUGGUGUAAGUGGCCUCAGCCAGAGCCACAGGCCCUGGUGUGGUGUAAGUGGCCUCAGCCAGAGCCACAGGCCCUGGUGUGGUGUAAGUGGCCUCAGCCAGUGCCACAGGCCCUGGUGUGGUGUAAGUGGCCUGAGCAAGAGCCACAGACCCUGGUGUGGUGUAAUUGGCCUCAAUAGCAACUAAUGCCCUGGUGUGGUGUAAGUGGCCUCAGCCAGUGCCACAGGCCCUGGUGUGGUGUAAGUGGCCUGAGCAAGAGUCACAGACCCUGGUGUGGUGUAAUUGGCCUCAAUAGCAACUAAUGCCCUGGUGUGGUGUAGGUGGCCUCAGCCAGCAGCCACAGGCCCUGGUGUGGUGUAAGUGGCCUCAGCCACAGCCACAGGCCCUGGUGUGGUGUAAGUGGCCUGAGCAAGAGCCACAGGCCCUGGUGUGGUGUAAGUCGCCUCAGCCAGAAGCCACAGGCACUGGUGUGGUGUAAGUGGCCUCAGCCAGCAGCCACAGGCCCUGGUGUGGUGUAAGUGGCCUCAGCCAGCAGCCACAGGCCCUGGUGUGGUGUAAGUGGCCUCAGCCAGCAGCCACAGGCCCUGGUGUGGUGUAAGUGGCCUCAGCCAGCAGCCACAGGCCCUGGUGUGGUGUAAGUGGCCUCAGCCAGCAGCCACAGGCCCUGGUGUGGUGUAAGUGGCCUCAGCCAGCAGCCACAGGCCCUGGUGUGGUGUAAGUGGCCUCAAUAGCAACUAAUGCCCUGGUGUGGUGUAAGUGGCCUCAGCCAGCAGCCACAGGCCCUGGUGUGGUGUAAGUGGCCUCAGCCAGCAGCCACAGGCCCUGGUGUGGUGUAAGUGGCCUCAGCCAGCAGCCACAGGCCCUGGUGUGGUGUAAGUGGCCUCAGCCAGUGCCACAGGCCCUGGUGUGGUGUAAGUGGCCUCAGCCAGCAGCCACAGGCCCUGGUGUGGUGUAAUUGGCCUCAAUAGCAACUAAGGCCCUGGUGUGGUGUAGGUGGCCUCAGCCAGCAGCCACAGGCCCUGGUGUGGUGUAAGUGGCCUCAAUAGCAACUAAGGCCCUGGUGUGGUGUAAGUGGCCUCAGCCAGCAGCCACAGGCCUUGGUGUGGUGUAAGUCGCCUCAUCCAGCAGCCACAGGCCCUGGUGUGGUGUAAGUGGCUUCAGCCAGCAGCCACAGGCCCUGGUGUGGUGUAAGUGGCCUCAGCCAGCAGCCACAGGCCCUGAUGUGGUGUAAGUGGACCCAGCCG